UACGUAGGGGGCAAGCGUUGUCCGGAAUCAUUGGGCGUAAAGGGCGCGUAGGCGGCCUGAUAAGUAGGGGGUGAAAUCCUGAGGCUUAACCUCAGGGCUGCCUUCUAAACUGUCAGGCUCGAGCACAGUAGAGGCAGGUGGAAUUCCCGGUGUAGCGGUGGAAUGCGUAGAGAUCGGGAAGAACAUCAGUGGCGAAGGCGGCCUGCUGGGCUGUUGCUGACGCUGAGGCGCGACAGCGUGGGGAGCAAACAGG
rnacentral:rRNA from 1 species